CAUGCAAGUCGAGCGAGAAGCUAACUUCGGUUGGUGGACAGCGGCGCACGGGUGAGUAACGCGUGGGAAUUUACCUUUCGGCGGGGGACAACAGUUGGAAACGACUGCUAAUACCGCAUACGCCCUACGGGGGAAAGAUUUAUCACCGAAAGAUAGGCCCGCGUUAGAUUAGGUAGUUGGUAGGGUCAAAGCUUACCAAGCCGACGAUCUAUAGCUGGUUUGAGAGAACGAUCAGCCACACUGGAACUGAGACACGGUCCAGACUCCUACGGGAGGCAGCAGUGGGGAAUCUUGCACAAUGGGCGAAAGCCUGAUGCAGCCAUGCCGCGUGAGUGAGAAGGCCCUCGGGUUGUAAAACUCUUUUAGAUGUGAAGAUGAUGACGGUAACAUCAGAAAAAGCACCGGCUAACUUCGUGCCAGCAGCCGCGGUAAUACGAAGGGUGCUAGCGUUGUUCGGAAUUACUGGGCGUAAAGAGCGUGUAGGCGGCUUAGCAAGUUAGAGGUGAAAUCCCAGGGCUCAACCCUGGAACUGCCUUUGAUACUGCUAAGCUUGAGAUCGUGAGGGGAUAGCGGAAUACCCAGUGUAGAGGUGAAAUUCGU
rnacentral:rRNA from 1 species